rnacentral:rRNA from 1 species
GACGAACGCUGGCGGCGUGCUUAACACAUGCAAGUCGAACGGAAAGGCCCUGCUUUUGUGGGGUGCUCGAGUGGCGAACGGGUGAGUAACACGUGAGUAACCUGCCCUUGACUUUGGGAUAACUUCAGGAAACUGGGGCUAAUACCGGAUAGGAGCUCCUGCUGCAUGGUGGGGGUUGGAAAGUUUCGGCGGUUGGGGAUGGACUCGCGGCUUAUCAGCUUGUUGGUGGGGUAGUGGCUUACCAAGGCUUUGACGGGUAGCCGGCCUUAGAGGGGGACCGGGCACAAUGGGACUGAGAGACGGCGCAGAAUCGUACGGGAGGCAGCAGUGGAGAAUAUUGCGCAGUGGGCGGAAGCGUGAGGCAGAGACGUUGGGUGCGUAAUACCGGGCUUCGGGGGGUAAACAGAUUUCGAAGGAGACGAGGAGGGAGUGACGGUAAUGGGUAAAGAAGCACCGGCUAACUACGUG